GAUGAACGCUGGCGGCGUGCUUAACACAUGCAAGUCGAACGGAAAGGCCAGUGCUUGCACUGGUACUCGAGUGGCGAACGGGUGAGUAACACGUGGGUGAUCUGCCCUGCACUUCGGGAUAAGCCUGGGAAACUGGGUCUAAUACCGGAUAGGACAAUGGUUUGGAUGCCGUUGUGGAAAGUUUUUUCGGCGUGGGAUGAGCUCGCGGCCUAUCAGCUUGUUGGUGGGGUAAUGGCCUACCAAGGCGUCGACGGGUAGCCGGCCUGAGAGGGUGUACGGCCACAUUGGGACUGGGAUACGGCCCAGACUCCUACGGGAGGCAGCAGUGGGGAAUAUUGCACAAUGGGCGCAAGCCUGAUGCAGCGACGCCGCGUGGGGGAUGACGGCCUUCGGGUUGUAAACUCCUUUCGCUAGGGACGAAGCGUAUUUGUGACGGUACCUGGAGAAGAAGCACCGGCUAACUACGUG
rnacentral:rRNA from 1 species